GACGAACGCUGGCGGCGUGCCUAAUACAUGCAAGUCGAACGCUUCUUUCCUCCCGAGUGCUUGCACUCAAUUGGAAAGAGGAGUGGCGGACGGGUGAGUAACACGUGGGUAACCUACCCAUCAGAGGGGGAUAACACUUGGAAACAGGUGCUAAUACCGCAUAACAGUUUAUGCCGCAUGGCAUAAGAGUGAAAGGCGCUUUCGGGUGUCGCUGAUGGAUGGACCCGCGGUGCAUUAGCUAGUUGGUGAGGUAACGGCCCACCAAGGCCACGAUGCAUAGCCGACCUGAGAGGGUGAUCGGCCACACUGGGACUGAGACACGGCCCAGACUCCUACGGGAGGCAGCAGUAGGGAAUCUUCGGCAAUGGACGAAAGUCUGACCGAGCAACGCCGCGUGAGUGAAGAAGGUUUUCGGAUCGUAAAACUCUGUUGUUAGAGAAGAACAAGGACGUUAGUAACUGAACGUCCCCUGACGGUAUCUAACCAGAAAGCCACGGCUAACUACGUG
rnacentral:rRNA from 1 species